CUUUUAGCAAACUUUACUUUUGUUGAAAACUUUGUAAGUUUGGGAUUUUAAUUAUCUUUUACUAUUAAUAAGACCUUGUUUUGUCCAAAUUAGAAUUGGUAUAAUGGCUUUUAAAGGAACAGGGUACACUUUUUUUUUUCUCUUAACUACUUGUAUAUCUCUCUCUUUCUUUCUCUCUUUGACUUUGUCUCUCUCUCUUUGACUUUUCUUUUGCCUCUAUCUCCUCUCUCUCUGCCUCUCUCUUUCUUUCUUUUCAGGGAGGAGACCACCCCUCAUAUUGUCUUAUGCCCAAUUUCUGCCUCCAAAGAAAGAAGAAGUCAAAACUAAAUGGCAGAAAUGAGAUCCACAGGCAGACAGCCAGGCGCCACACCCUAGGCCUGGUUCUGUUAUCUAUAGAUUACAGACAUUGUAUAGGAAUACACUGUGAAAAUCCCUGUCCUGUUUUGUUCCGAUCCAAUUACCGGUGCAUGCAUGCCCCAGUCACGUACCCCCUGCUUGCUCAAUCAAUCAAGACCCUCUCACUUGCACUCCCUUAGAGUUGUGAGCACUUAAAAGGGACAGGAAUUGCUCACUCAGGGAGCUUGGCUCUUGAGACUGAAGUCUUGCCAAUGCCCCUGGCUGAAUAAACCCCUUCAUUCUGUAACUCGGUGCCUGAGGAGUUUUGUCUGCCUCUCCUCCUGCUACAUUUCUUGGUUACCUGACCGGGAAGCAAGGUGAAUGGUGGAUGGUGGAGGCAGCUCCUUAGGCAGCUUAAGCCUGCCCUGUGGAACAUCCCUGCGGGGGACUCCGACCAGCCCCAGCGACGCGGAUCCUGAGAGUGCUCCCAGGACUGGUGGGCACAGUGAGUCUUAUCCCAUGGCCCGACUCAGGAUCUUUAAGGCCUACAUCAAGGUCAUAAGCAGCCUCAUCAGCCUGGCCUCUGACAUCAGACAACAGGAGGAAGCCAUCUCAGCUCUAGCCCAGGCAGUAAGCCCCAGGACAGCAGCAACCCUUUUUCCUGGCUUGGCCGAGGUACACAACAUCUCUCGUUGUUUCUUGUGUGCAGCCUUGAAUAAGCCCCCACUGGUUGCGGUACCCUUACCCAGCCCUUUUAACUCCUCUAACCUAACCCCCUCCUUUCC
rnacentral:lncRNA from 1 species